rnacentral:tRNA from 1 species
UCCCCGGUAGCUCAGUUGGCAGAGCAGCUGACUGUUAAUCAGCGGGUCGAAUGUUCAAGUCAUUCCCGGGGAG